rnacentral:rRNA from 1 species
AUUGAACGCUGGCGGCAGGCCUAACACAUGCAAGUAGAACGAGUGGCGGACGGGUGAGUAAUGUCUGGGCAACUGCCUGAUGGCGGGGGAUAACUACUGGAAACGGUAGCUAAUACCGCAUACCAUCAGAUGUGCCCAGAUGGGAGUAGCUUGUUGGUGGGGUAAAGGCUCACCAAGGCGACGAUCCCUAGCUGGUUUGAGAGGAUGACCAGCCACACUGGAACUGAGACACGGUCCAGACUCCUACGGGAGGCAGCAGUGGGGAAUAUUGCACAUGGGGCGCAAGCCUGAUGCAGCCAUGCCGCUUGUAUGAAGAGGGCCUUCGGGUUGUAAAGUAUUUUCAGCGGGGAGGCGUUACCCGCAGAAGAAGCACCGGCUAACUCCGUGCCAGCAGCCGCGGUAAUAC